GCGGAUGUGGUGGAAUUGGUAGACACGCUGGAUUUAGGUUCCAGUGUCGAAAGACGUGAGAGUUCAAGUCUCUCCAUCCGUACCA
rnacentral:tRNA from 1 species